CAACCGAGAUUCCGAAAGUAGCGGCGAGCGAAAUUGGACUAGCCCUUAAGCUUUACACGCGUUAGACGAACGGUCUGGAAAGUCCGACGAUACAGGGUGAUAGUCCCGUAGUUGACGACGUGUGUUCAGUGAAAUCGAGUAGGGCGGGACACGUGAUAUCCUGUCUGAAUAUGGGGGGACCAUCCUCCAAGGCUAAAUACUACUGACUGACCGAUAGUGAACCAGUACCGUGAGGGAAAGGCGAAAAGAACCCCUGUGAGGGGAGUGAAAUAGAACCUGAAACCGUGUACGUACAAGCAGUAGGAGCAGGCUU
rnacentral:rRNA from 1 species